rnacentral:rRNA from 1 species
UUGACCUCGGAUCAGGUAGGGAUACCCGCUGAACUUAAGCAUAUCAAUAAGCGGAGGAAAAGAAACCAACAGGGAUUACCUCAGUAACGGCGAGUGAAGCGGUAACAGCUCAAAUUUGAAAGCUGCCAACAGGCCGCAUUGUAAUUUGUAGAGGAUGCUUUGGAGGCUGGCCCGGUCUAAGUUCCUUGGAACAGGACGUCAUAGAGG